GGUUAUAUUUUAAGUAACCCCUGCUCACUGUCCCAUGAAGAGCUGCAGUACAACAACUGUACUAAGGUAGCAUAAUAAUUUGCCCUUUAAUUGGGGGCUCGAAUGAAAGGUCCGACGUAAUUCUCCCUCUCACUGUUAAUAUAAAAAAUUACAUUCAGGUAAAAAUACCUGAGUUCACCUAGAGGACGAUAAGACCCUAUAAAAUUUCACUUUUUUGAUAAAAGAUAGGUAAUAUAGCUCUAAAAGUUUCGCUGGGACGGCUAAAACAAGACAUCUAUUUUCAUCAAACCACUUAUUUGUGCCCCCAUGACCCGUAAAAGACCUUAAAUCAAAUUACUUUAGGGGUAACAGCGUAAUUUUUCUUAGAGCUCUAAUUGAAAGAAAAGAUUACGACCUCGAUGUUGAAUUAGGAAUACAGGAAGGUGCAAAAGCUUUCCAAG
rnacentral:rRNA from 1 species